rnacentral:rRNA from 1 species
GACGAACGCUGGCGGCGUGCCUAAUACAUGCAAGUCGAGCGAAGCGGCGGAUGGGUGAGUAACGCGUGGGUAACCUGCCCUUAAGUCUGGGAUACCAUUUGGAAACAGAUGCUAAUACCGGAUACUAAAGGAUGGACCUGCGAUGCAUUAGCUAGUUGGUAAGGUAACGGCUUACCAAGGCGAUGAUGCAGAGCUGAGUGGAGAGAUUGAGCGGCCACAUGGGUACUGAUACAUGGCCCAAACUACGACGGGAGGCAGCAGUAGGGAAUCUUCCACAAUGGACGAAAGUCUGAUGGAGCAACGCCGCGGGAGUGAAGAAGUUUUUCGGAUCGGAAAGCUCUGUUGUUGGUGAAGCGGUAAUCAACCAGAAAGUCACGGCUAACUACGUGCCAGCAGCCGCGGUAAUUC